rnacentral:tRNA from 1 species
UCCCUGGGGGUCCAGUGGCUAAGACUUGGUGCUCCCAAUGCAAGGGGCCUAGGUUCCACUCCUAGUCGGGGAA